GUUAUGACAGACAGAUUGAGAGCUCUUUCUCGAUUCGGUGGUUGGUGGUGCAUGGCCGUUCUUAGUUCGUGGAGCGAUUUGUCUGGUUAAUUCCGAUAACGAACGAGACGCACGCCUGCUAAAUAGACGACGCUGGCUCCGGUCGGCGAUCGAUCUCGCUUCUUAGAGGGACAAGCGGCGCCCAGCCGCGUGAAGCUGUGCGCAAUAACAGGUCUGUGAUGCCCAA
rnacentral:rRNA from 2 species